rnacentral:rRNA from 1 species
ACGGGAGGCAGCAGUGGGGAAUAUUGCACAAUGGGGGCAACCCUGAUGCAGCGACGCCGCGUGAAGGAAGAAGUAUCUCGGUAUGUAAACUUCUAUCAGCAGGGAAGAUAAUGACGGUACCUGACUAAGAAGCCCCGGCUAACUACGUGCCAGCAGCCGCGGUAAUACGUAGGGGGCAACCGUUAUCCGGAUUUACUGGGUGUAAAGGGAGCGUAGGCGGACUGGCAAGUCAGAUGUGAAAGGCAUGGGCUCAACCGGUGGACUGCAUUGGAAACUGUCGUUCUUGAGUGCAGGAGGGGUAAGCGGAAUUCCUAGUGUAGCGGUGAAAUGCGUAGAUAUGAGGAGGAACACCAGUGGCGAAGGCGGCUUACUGGACGGUAACUGACGUUGAGGCUCGAAAGCGUGGGGAGCAAACAGGAUUAGAUACCCUGGUA